CAGCCGCCGCGGGAAUACGAAGGGUGCAAGCGUUAAUCGGAAUUACUGGGCGUAAAGCGCACGUAGGCGGAUUUUUAAGUCAGGGGUGAAAUCCCGAGGCUCAACCUCGGAACUGCCUUUGAUACUGGAGAUCUUGAGUUCGGAAGAGGUUGGUGGAACAGCUAGUGUAGAGGUGAAAUUCGUAGAUAUUAGCUAGAACACCAGUGGCGAAGGCGGCCAACUGGUCCGAUACUGACGCUGAGGUGCGAAAGCGUGGGGAGCAAACAGGAUUAGAUACCCCAGUAGUCCCUGUCUCUUAUAC
rnacentral:rRNA from 1 species